CCUACGGGCGGCUGCAGUGAGGAAUAUUGGUCAAUGGGCGCGAGCCUGAACCAGCCAUGCCGCGUGAAGGUCAGUGCCCUAUGGGCGUUAAACUUCUUUUAUAUGGGAAUAAAGUGAGGAACGUGUUCCUUUUUGUAUGUACCAUAUGAAUAAGCAUCGGCUAACUCCGUGCCAGCAGCCGCGGUAAUACGGAGGAUGCGAGCGUUAUCCGGAUUUAUUGGGUUUAAAGGGUGCGUAGGUGGUUAAUUAAGUCAGCGGUGAAAGUUUGUGGCUCAACCAUAAAAUUGCCGUUGAAACUGGUUGACUUGAGUAUAUGUGAGGUAGGGGAAUGCGUGGUGUAGCGGUGAAAUGUAUAGAUAUCACGCAGAACUCCGAUUGCGAAGGCAGCUUACUAAACUAUAACUGACACUGAAGCACGAAAGCGUGGGGAUCAAACAGGAUUAGAUACCCUGGUAGUC
rnacentral:rRNA from 1 species